rnacentral:lncRNA from 1 species
GUCAUAGAGAGAGUGUCAGAGAGAGUGUGUCAGAGAGAGACAGUGUCAGUAAGAGAAAGAGAGUGUGUCAGAGAGAGACAGACAGAUAGUGACAGAGAGCUGGGUAGUUCCCAACAAGGAGGGACCAGGAUAUAAAAUAUAACUAAUAAUGAAGAAACGAAACAGAAAGUAAAAUCUACAUUUACAGCAACAGCUCCCCAAAGAAAACACUCACUACAGUAAUGCUGAGCUGCAGGAGCUGACACUCACACUCACACUGAGAGGCACUCACACUGCCAGACACUCACACUCACACUGAGAGGCACUCACACUGCCAGACACUCACACUGAGAGGCACAGACACUCACACUGCCAGACACUCACACUGCCAGACAUACACUGAGAGACACUCACACUGAGGGAGACACUCACACUGAGGGAGACACUCACUACAGUAAUGCUGACCUGCAGGAGCUGACACUCACACUGAGCGACACUCACUAAGAGACACUCACACUGAGCGACACUCACACCAGGAGACACUCACACUCAGCGCUCAGGAUGGGGGAUGGCUACCAGUUCCCUGUGGCCCUCCAGUGGGAUUUGGGGCCCGAGAAGCUGAAACAGAUGAAGAACAAGUUAAUGGUUUAUUUCGGGAGCAAAAAGAAAUCGAAUGGAGGAGAAUGUGCGAUAAAAGACAUGGAGUGCACUCAGGGCUAUGUACUAAUAUACUUCAACCAGGAGACAG